UACAGCUCAGUACUGACACCAGACAACUGACGCUGAGCAACACUGUAUACAUCCCACCCACAGCUUGAGGAACAGUGCUUCACUGGAAGGGAUUUGAAUAUGGCUGUGUCUCAACAAACAAGGCUUUACUUGUCUCAAACAAAAUCAAGGCUCUUACAUACAGUAAGCUGAAACCUACAGUGUGGAGUUACCUAGGAAGAAUCAUUAGUCUCAUUUCAGAAUCACAGAAGGAGACAUUGUGAAGAAAGGAACACGCUCGUCCAAAUGAAAAGGCAGUGGAAUAAUGAGACAGUCAUCUGCAGUUUGGACUUCCAUGAACUGAUGUGAGAAAGGAGGAUGCAAUCCCUGGUUUAUGGAAGGAAGUAUUAGUGCCACUGUACAAAACAAGAUCACAUCUAGAAGACUUUAGGCAGAAGGAUUAAAACAAAAUGGAACAGGUACAACAAAUGUGCUGCCAAGAUAACAAGAGGAAGCACCUGCUUUGUGUGGAAUAUCAAAGAACCUUCCUUUGUUUAUCUUAGUAAAAAUGGUGAGAGGAGAUAUAAUUGGCUUCUAGAAACAUAUCAGCAAAGAAACAUGAGUGUAGGUCAAAUAUUUCAAUUAAAACCAACAAAUAAAUAUAAACUGGCCAUGAAUAAAUUUCCAUCCAAAGCCAGAAGAUUAUUUUUAAUCAAAAUAAUUAAUCCCUAAAAUAAUGGGUAUCUCCCAAGUGCAAAAAAGAUUGUCAUGUUCUUUCAGAAAAAAAAAAAAAAGGAAAGCAAGCAACUAACCUUGAAUAACGACAAAGAAUUUGGAGCACUCCUGACUCUGCCUGCUAAUUUACAUAACUGCCUUGUGGCAAACUCUUACAGAUGUUACCCAUACAGGCAGGAGAGAUGGCAAUGCCAGUGUGGCAGUACAGCAGGCUCUUCAGAGUCCACUCCAACUAUUCUCUCCUAUGUGUCUGCACUGCUUCAGUCUUGUCUCUGCCUGCCCUCUCGUGUCUAACGGCAGGAGUGCGAUUUCCAUCCCUAAGUUCACUGCAUUAUGGCUGUGUGCCUACUCCUAGGUCAUGGAAGGAUGUACAUCAAAGCAGUAUCUCUCAAAUGACUCCCAUCAGUGCACUAAGUUUCUGGAAUUGUGAAGGUUGUUGGCAGAGGAUGCUCACAUUUUCACAUUACCCUAUAAUUACUCUGGCCAGUAGCAAAUACGGUAAGGAAGGGAUAGCACAUGACACAGUCCCUGUUUGGGACUCACACUCAACAAUGUGAAAACAUCUAAUGGAUGGCAGAAGUGGAGGACUUCGCACUACCCAGACAAUGGGUGGACUCAUCUCCUGAGCUGCAAGGCACUUGCUCCUCUUUUUGGGGUCCCUGUAGUGUAGGAAAGCACAUGAAGAUUCCCGUAGAGAUGAUGCUGCAUGGAGCCAUACGAACCUCUUCACCAGAAGUGCUGAGCAGGACCACGUUGCCCACAUUAUCACCUGUCACCAC